UAUGCACAUAGCAGGCCGUGAACAGCCAGCCAGCCCGCCCAUAGACGCCCGAACCGAUGGGCGGCUUUGAAAUGUUUGAAGAUUUGAUUUCACAGUUGGCGUUCGUGUUUGCUUUUGCGCCGGUUUGGCUUUGGCGCUGCGACGAAUGGGCAGGCAGCCCUUUAACGGUGUUUAAGCUUGCCCGCGUGAAAGGUUUACCGCCAACCAGCGUGAUCGUCGGUUCGUCCCGCGGGUGUGUUGAUUUGGUCUUUUCAAAAACUGCAUGUGCGUUAGAUUCGGCGCACCGGUCGCUGCUAGCGUACAGGACACGUGGAGACAUUGGCAGGGCGCACUUGCUGCGCAAACGAUAGACGUGAGAGGAGUUUGUGUGUGUGUAUGUGGGUAAUAUCAAUAUUUAGCUCACAGCACAUGCGGCGAAGGCGUUUGCACAUCGGCGAUAGAAAUGGACAAAUUUUCCCGUACAGACCGCCAGGGUGCAGGGAUUGUGCAAGUCUUGCCUGCGAGGAUAACUACCGUAACAAUGGCAAACAAUGGCCGGUUCAAAAUUUGGCCAUUGGGGAGCCAUCCAAAUAACGUUGCGAGGUUUUGUUUGAGUUUCAACGAUGGUCGAUGGUGAGUCAAGGUCGAAAGUGCUGCGUUGGUACUGUGGUCGUAGGAUUUAUAUUGAAUGAUUUACAGUCUCAAGUUACGGAACCGUUUCUAAAAUGGGUUUGUAAACAAUAUUUAAGAAACUAAGUUUGUUCUUAAAUAUAAUGACUGCCCGAAUGCACACUGCUUCCUAGUUGGGCAUAGCUGUGAGGUAAAUUGUAGCCAUUAAAAAUCGUUGAGAGAUGACAUCAGACGAAUGGCGACACUUGAUAGGGAAGUUUUGUUUUCCUGCUUUUUAGCUUCACGCCUUGCUUGGUGGUGGAAUAGGCUACAUCAAAAUUUAUUUUCCUUUUAACCUGCACAUCGGUUACUUGAGUCAAAUAUAACGAGCUUCGUGAAACAUCUGAAUUCAAAAAAUCCCUAUACUCCGGACACUUCAAUAAAGACUGGCGAAGAAUUCGGCACAGGUUCAACACCUAGCUCUGCUGUCCACACUUGCACAAACACGGAGUCUGUGAUAGGCAAAGUGAAAAACAAGUUUGAUAAUUUGCUUCUGGAAACAAGCAACUUUUCGAUCUAUUAAUAGAUUGCCAUAUCGUCUCAAUAAACACGUAUGUGGAGUAUUUUUAACGCUGUUUUGCCGCAAGUAAUGUGCUAGUACUGUGCUAGACACACAACACCAAACAAUAGGGAAGUAAGAAAUGUAGAACAAGUUUGCUAUAAAAGAAAGACUGUAGAACACGUAAAGGUAUGGUGGUGUGUCAGGCUUUUUCGUAUUAUGAAGAAUCUGCCACUGCCCCGGAACCAGAUUACUACGCCGUUGAUGAUGGAUACGAUCCGAAUAGAAUUGCUAUGCUGCAGCAUACAUCAAAGGGACGGAGCUGGCUCGGUAUAGCCUCGAGGCUUAUUUCGAAUUAUUUGGGCUAUGAGUAGGUGGCUCUUUGUGGAGAUAAAUAUUGAAGUAUAAUUUAGAAAAAAAGUAAAUAAAGUUAUGUACCGUUUUUGGUAAUGGCUAAAUAGAAAAUGUGAAA